rnacentral:rRNA from 1 species
UUCCGGUUGAUCCUGCCGGACCCGACUGCUAUUUGGGUGAGAAUAAGCCAUGCGAGUUGAAUGGGAUACCUAAAGUUCCCAUAGCAAACUGCUCAGUAACACAUGAUCAACUUACCCUAUAGAGAAAAAUAACCUCGGGAAACUGAGGAUAAUGUUUCAUAAUUGAAUUGGCUUGGAAAAGUUUUUCAAUGAAAAGGAUAAAAAAAAUGGUUUUUAUCUGCUAUAGGAUAGGAUCGUGUUCGAUUAUGGUUGUUGGUGAGAUAAUGGCUCACCAAGCCGAUAAUCGAUAGGGGCCGUGAGAGCGGGAGCCCCGAGAUGGGUACUGAGACAACGACCCAGGCCUUACGAGGCGCAGCAGGCGCGGAACCUCCGCAAUACACGAAAGUGUGACGGGGUUACCCAAAGUGUUCAAUAGAACUGUGGUAGGUGAGUAAUGUUCCCUACUAGAAAGGAGAGGGCAAGGCUGGUGCCAGCCGCCGCGGUAAAACCAGCUCUUCAAGUGGUCGGGAUAAUUAUUGGGCUUAAAGUGUCCGUAGCCGGUUUAGUAAGUUCCUGGUAAAAUCGGGUAGCUUAACUAUCUGCAUGCUAGGAAUACUGCUAUACUAGAGGGCGGGAGAGGUCUGAGGUACUACAGGGGUAGGGGUGAAAUCUUAUAAUCCUUGUAGGACCACCAGUGGCGAAGGCGUCAGACUGGAACGCGCCUGACGGUGAGGGACGAAAGCCAGGGGAGCGAACCGGAUUAGAUACCCGGGUAGUCCUGGCCGUAAACGAUGCAUACUAGGUGAUGGUACGGCCAUGAGCCGUAUCAGUGCCGUAGGGAAACCGUUAAGUGUGCCGCCUGGGAAGUACGGUCGCAAGGCUAAAACUUAAAGGAAUUGGCGGGGGAGCACCACAAGGGGUGAAGCCUGCGGUUCAAUUGGAUUCAACGCCGGGAAAUCACUAGUGCGGCC